UCUUCGAGAUAAAAUAAUAAGAAAUUUCUUGUCCACUUACUAGCUAGAGAGAAGAAAAAGGAUUUGAGAGACUUGCUUUUUUGGCUCCAUAUGUGUAUUGAGUAUACUUUUAUUUUGACAAUUCUGCAGUGUUCCAACUUUUUUAGCUGUUAAUAAAAUCUAUGGAGCUAAUGUUACAAAGGAAUCUGCCCAUAACUCAUGUAGGCUCUGCUGAUAUUUCUUCCACGUCAGGACAAAGCUACCAAACAGGUCCUGACCUCAAGAAGCAGAAGUAAAGGGUUCCAAGCUCAUUAUUCUACACGAAAAAUCUCUACAAGUGAUGGAGUGUGGCACAUGAGGCUUGGACAUCCUCACUCUCAGAUUUUUCAGUUCCUGUGUUAGAAGAAGUCUAUUAGUGUCAAUAAGAGUAUCAUGAAAUCUUGUGAUUCACGUCACCUAGGAAAGAGUAGUCGUCUGCCUUUUGUUGCUUCUAGUUCCGUUGCGUCUAGACCCUUAGAGUGAAUCCAUUGUGAUCCCUGGGGGUCUCUCUCCAAUAAUGUCUAAUCAAGGACUCAAAUUUUAUGUCA